AGACAUUGAACCCGUAAGUGCAUGGAUUUUACCAGCAAUAGAGUAAGGGAUCGGUACCUGGGACUUGAAGGUACGAAGCUUCUCUUCUUGAUUUGGUGGUUCUGGAACGUACUCUUGAUUCCCAUCAAGGAUAACAUAUUGUAAUAUGGUAGCUAGAGGUAGAGAAGCCUUGGAUUCUUUGGAGGUUUUUGCUUUGGACGCCAUUGUUGAAAGCAAUGAAUUUGAUGCUUGGAGAAGAGAAAUUUUUAAAAGAUAUUUAAGGGUAACAAUGAGUAAAAAAUAAGAAGAAAUGAAGAAGAAAUAUUUAUAGUGGGGGAAAAAGAGUCUUUAAUUUUGCUGCUAACAAAUGACGCCAAAUUUUGUGACACAUGCCAU
rnacentral:lncRNA from 1 species